CAACACUUAUUGCUGUGUUUGCCUAGUGAUGAUUCUUUAUUUCCCUCUGUUGCUUUACACUUAUUUAUUCAAAUUUUACUGUGAGUUAGAGCUAUUACUUCUCCCCUCUUUAUUAAUUUAAUCCAUAAUUUAUUUAUAUCAGUAUGAACCCUUGGAUAUUUAUUCCAUGGGCUAUAAUCCGAUAUUAUCAUUGUUUUGUUGCUUAGCUUGUUCCAGCUUUGGCCAUUAGGAACUCCUUCAG